rnacentral:rRNA from 1 species
GACGAACGCUGGCGGCGUGCUUAACACAUGCAAGUCGAACGAAGUGGCGAACGGGUGAGUAAUACGUGGGUAACCUGCCCUCCUUUUUGGGAUAAGCCUUGGAAACGGGGUCUAAUACCGAAUAAAGGGGGAGGGGCGCGGAGCCUAUCAGCUUGUUGGUGGGGUGAUGGCCUACCAAGGCGGUGACGGGUAGCCGGCCUGAGAGGGUGGCCGUACACGUUGGGACUGGGAUACGGUCGAAACUCCUACGGGAGGCAGCAAUGGGGGAUAGUGCACAAUGGAGGGAACUCUGAUGGAGCGACGCCGGUUGAACGAAGAAGGCUUUCGAGUCGUAAAGUUCUUUCGGUACCAUAAGAAAAAGCCCCGGCUAACUACGUGCCAGCCGCCGCGGUAAUAC